rnacentral:rRNA from 1 species
UACGUAGGGAGCAAGCGUUGUCCGGAAUCAUUGGGCGUAAAGAGCGCGCAGGCGGUUGAUUAAGUCGAAUGUGAAAGCCCCCGGCUCAACUGGGGAGGGUCAUUCGAUACUGAUUGACUUGAAGGCAGGAGAGAGAAGUGGAAUUCCCGGUGUAGUGGUGAAAUGCGUAGAUAUCGGGAGGAACACCAGUGGCGAAGGCGACUUCUUGGCCUGUUCUUGACGCUGAGGCGCGAAAGCUGGGGGAGCAAACGGG